rnacentral:snRNA from 1 species
AUACUUACCUGGCAGGGGAGAUAUCAUGAUCACCAAAGUAGUUUUCCNGGGGCAAGGCUUAUCCAUUGCACACCAUAUGUGCUGACCCCUGCAAUUUUUCCAAAUGUGGGAAACUCAACUGCAUAAUUUGUGGUAGUGGGGUGGACUGUGUUCACACUCUCCCCUG